UGCACUGUAUGUAGUUUGCAGUUUGGGCUGC
rnacentral:piRNA from 1 species